rnacentral:lncRNA from 1 species
CUGAAGAACAGGAGCCAGGAGUAGAGCAUGCCUUUGGAGGUGAUGGUGGUCUUUUGGCCUUAAUUUCUUCCUAAAUCAAAAGUAUAAUAUAACCAAUAUACAUUUGCAUCCACCUAUAUUUUCUAUGAAAAUUCAAUGUAAAAUGAAUGAGAAAUAUUGUGCCUAAUAAGAGAGAUACAUGAAAGUAAAAAAAGGUUAGUUUUAUCUUAAGCUAUCAAAUAUUUAUAUUUGGAGACAAAACAAAUAGUGAUAUCUUAUUAACUUUUGAUGAAAUCAUUUUAAACUCUUGGCUAAAUAACAAGAUAACAAAUUUGUAAUAUGCAAUGUAUGACCUUUUAUAUUGCAGUUUCAGAUAACAGCCAACUCAUGACACAUGAGAUUUGCUGUUAAGUUGGGAAGAUUUCUCUUUUAUGGCCAGGAAAAGACAGCUGAGAGGUUUUAUGCUUUGUCUGUGAAGCAACUGCAUGAUGCAAAUUGCUACUUCCUUGCUGCAAGUAACAGCUAACAGCUGAGAGUUAGAAAGGCAAACUAAAUUUCUUCCCUUUAUCAGUUGGAAGGGAAAUAGAAAGGUUAUUUUCCCAUUCUGGGAGGUAAGUAUACUGUUUGCAAUUUUUAAAAAUUAAAAGGUUCUGGGAGCUUUUAAGUCCAUGAAGAGUUACAGAAGCCUUAGAUCCAUGGGCCUGUUCCAGGAAAGGCUUUCUACCCUUCAGAAGUGACUGAUUUAUAACAACACAUAGAACUUAGUGCCUAAAUGAGCCAACAACCUGGGAUUUUGAUGAUUGGAAUUGAUAAAACAAUAUUUAACUUUAUGUUUAGCAAAAAUAAAUCUACAUUAUAUUUGAGGCAUUCUUUUUUUAAGUUUAUUAUACAGACUUUGUUAUGGAAAAAUAGUAACACAGUAAGUCCUUAAUGUUGUUGAUAGCUCUUAGAAACUGACUUUACGUGAGAUGAUGUAUAACAAAUCCAAUUUUUUUUUCUCAUCAACUGAUAUGGUUGGCUCUGUGUCCCCUCCCAAAUGUCACCUUGAAUUGUGAUAAUCCCCAUAUGUCAAGGGCAGGAUCUGGUGGAGUUAAUUGAAUCAUGGGGUCAGGUUCCCCCAUACCAUUCCCAUGAAAGUGAGUUCUCAUGAGAUCUGAUGGUUUUUAUAAGUGGCCUCCCCCUUUACUUGGCUCUCACUUUUCUUGACUGCUGCCAUGUAAGACAUGCCAGUUUUGCCUUCUGCUAUGAUUGUAAGUUUCUUGACUCCUCCCUAGCCAUGCAGAACUGUGAGUCAAUUAAAUCUCUUUUCCUUAUAAAUUACCCAGUCUUGGAUAUGUCACAAAAAUAAAGUCCAGCAAUUGAGUCAUGAGUCAAAGAAGAAAUAAUAAUGAGAAUUAGAAAAUACACUGAACUCAGUGAAAAUGGUAUAUACAAAAAUUGUGAGAGUGGCUAAAGCAAUCUUCAGUGGGGAAUUUAUAGCUUUAAAAUACAUAUAUUAGAAAGAUAAAAUGAGUUAGAAAAACAGCAAUAAGAUAAAGUAUGUAAUAGAAAGAGAAAACUAAUAACAGCAGAAAUUAAUAAAAUAGAAAAUAUACAACAUAGAGAAUCAAAAAAUCAUGAACAUCAAUUCCUUGAUACACUAAUAAAAUCAAUAAACUUAUUGAAUAAACUUUUGUUGAAAAUUAUAAACUUCUUUUAAUUGAGAAAAACAAAGACACAAGUUAACACAACUAAUAUGUAAAAGGGUACUUCUUACAGAACCAGCAGAUAUUUUUAAAAGAAUAUAAGGAUAUCAUGCAUAACUUUGUCAAUAAAUCUGAAUUUAGACUGAAUAAACAACUUUUAGAAAAGAAUAGAUUACCAAAAACUGAUUCAAGGAGAAAUAGAAAAUCUGAACAGUUUUGUAACAAAAUAGAUUUUAAAGCAAAGAAUAGUGUCAGGGAUGAAGAGAGUAACUUCAUAAUGAUAAAAAGGUCAUUUUAUCAAGAAGACAUAGCAAACCUAAACAGUUUUAUGCCUAAUAAGAGAGCUUCAAAAUACAUGAUUAAAAACUGGUAGAAAUGGAAAGAGAAAUUUAAAAAUCCACAAUUAUAAUUAGCGAUUUCAACACCUCUCCCUCAAUAAUUGGCAGAAAAAGUAGCCAAUCAGUAAGGCUAUAGAACGAGGGUCCCCAAAUCCCUGGACCACAACCUGCUGCACAGCAGAAUGUGAGCAGUGGGAGGGCAAGUGAGCAUUACCGCCUGAGUUCUGCCUCCUGUCAG